UACGGGGGGGGCAAGCGUUGUUCGGAAUUACUGGGCGUAAAGGGCUCGUAGGCGGCCAACUAAGUCAUACGUGAAAUCCCUCGGCUUAACCGGGGAACUGCGUGUGAUACUGGAUGGCUGGAGUUUGGGAGAGGGAUGCGGAAUUCCAGGUGUAGCGGUGAAAUGCGUAGAUAUCUGGAGGAACACCGGUGGCGAAGGCGGCAUCCUGGACCAAUACUGACGCUGAGGAGCGAAAGCCAGGGGAGCAAACGGG
rnacentral:rRNA from 1 species